UGCAACAAAUGUGCUGCAAAUGGAGCCACACA
rnacentral:piRNA from 1 species